rnacentral:rRNA from 1 species
UACGUAGGGUCCGAGCGUUGUCCGGAGUGACUGGGCGUAAAGCGCGCGCAGGCGGCCUGCGAGGUGUCACGUGAAAGCCCCGUGCUCAACGCGGGAGGGUCGUGGCAAACCGGUAGGCUUGAGGCCGGUAGAGGUGGGUGGAACUCCUGGUGGAGUGGUGAAAUGCGUAGAGAUCAGGAAGAACACCGGUGGUGUAGACGGCUUUCUGGACCGUAACUGACGCUGAGACACGAAAGCGUGGGUAGCAAACAGG